CCUACGGGCGGCAGCAGUGGGGAAUAUUGCACAAUGGGCGAAAGCCUGAUGCAGCAACGCCGCGUGAGCGAUGAAGGCCUUCGGGUCGUAAAGCUCUGUCCUCAAGGAAGAUAAUGACGGAACUUGAGGAGGAAGCCCCGGCUAACCCCGUGCCAGCAACCGCGGUAAUACGUAGGGGGAUAGCGUUAUCCGGAAUUACUGGGCGUAAAGGGUGCGUAGGUUGUUUCUUAAGUCAGAGGUGAAAGGCCACGGCUCAACCGUAGUAAGCCUUUGAAACUGGGGAACUUGAGUGCAGGAGAGGAGAGUGGAAUUCCUAGUGUAGCGGUGAAAUGCGUAGUUAUUAGGAAGAACACCAGUGGCGAAGGCGGCUCUCUGGACUGUAACUGACGCUGAGGCACGAAAGCGUGGGGAGCAAACAGGAUUAGAUACCCUGGUAGUC
rnacentral:rRNA from 1 species